GCUCCCGGAUGUUAGCGGCGGACGGGUGAGUAACACGUGGGUAACCUGCCUGUAAGACUGGGAUAACUCCGGGAAACCGGAGCUAAUACCGGAUAGUUCCUUGAACCGCAUGGUUCAAGGAUGAAAGACGGUUUCGGCUGUCACUUACAGAUGGACCCGCGGCGCAUUAGCUAGUUGGUGAGGUAACGGCUCACCAAGGCGACGAUGCGUAGCCGACCUGAGAGGGUGAUCGGCCACACUGGGACUGAGACACGGCCCAGACUCCUACGGGAGGCAGCAGUAGGGAAUCUUCCGCAAUGGACGAAAGUCUGACGGAGCAACGCCGCGUGAGUGAUGAAGGUUUUCGGAUCGUAAAGCUCUGUUGUUAGGGAAGAACAAGUGCAAGAGUAACUGCUUGCACCUUGACGGUACCUAACCAGAAAGCCACGGCUAACUACGUGCCAGCAGCCGCGGUAAUACGUAGGUGGCAAGCGUUGUCCGGAAUUAUUGGGCGUAAAGGGCUCGCAGGCGGUUUCUUAAGUCUGAUGUGAAAGCCCCCGGCUCAACCGGGGAGGGUCAUUGGAAACUGGGAAACUUGAGUGCAGAAGAGGAGAGUGGAAUUCCACGUGUAGCGGUGAAAUGCGUAGAGAUGUGGAGGAACACCAGUGGC
rnacentral:rRNA from 1 species